rnacentral:lncRNA from 1 species
CGAAUAAAAUUUAGAGUUUAAAACAUAUUUUGAUUGUGAAGCCUCACUUCCUAAGGUCAUCUAUUUUAGGACUACUCUAGUCCUGACACGCUUAACUCUUAGCCACCGUCAAAAAUAUCAUAGUCGAAUUAACUCGCUAGUCUUAACCGAUCUGGCAAGGCUCCGUAAGAUUCUUUUCGUUAGUCUUAACCGACCUUAUGGUGGAGCCGCUCUCUAUCCACAACAAUUAUUAGCAUGAGAGUUUCGCUUUCCCCGCUGUAUAAUCUUAACGCAAUAGAUAUUCAUCUCACAUUUUCAGUAUAAUAUUGACUCAGCUAAGACUCAUCUCAUAUUUUCAAUUGCUAAUUAGUUAUGAUAUUAAUUGUGAUGCCCCACUUCUCAGGAGCCAUCCAUCCUAUAACUACUCUAACUCUAACAUGUUUAACUCUCUUAAUCUCUUGAUCCUAAUCACCGUCUAAAAUACAAUAGCCAGAUUAAGAGUUUUAGCUCUAUUAUAUUUUAUAUAUACGACUAUCUAAAGUCUAACAUAAAUAAUUUUAAAAUAAAUUUAAAAAUUUUGAACAAUAUUAAAAGAUAAAUAAGGAAAAGGAUAUAAAAUCGUGUGUGGGCUUCUUAUUA